rnacentral:rRNA from 1 species
AUUGAACGCUGGCGGCAUGCCUUACACAUGCAAGUCGAACGGUAACGGGCCUUCGGGUGCCGACGAGUGGCGAACGGGUGAGUAAUGCAUCGGAACGUACCUUUCAGUGGGGGAUAACGUAGCGAAAGUUACGCUAAUACCGCAUAUUCUAUGAGCAGGAAAGCAGGGGAUCGCAAGACCUUGCGCUGAUUGAGCGGCCGAUGUCAGAUUAGCUAGUUGGUGAGGUAAAGGCUCACCAAGGCGACGAUCUGUAGCGGGUCUGAGAGGAUGAUCCGCCACACUGGAACUGAGACACGGUCCAGACUCCUACGGGAGGCAGCAGUGGGGAAUUUUGGACAAUGGGGGCAACCCUGAUCCAGCCAUGCCGCGUGAGUGAAGAAGGCC